CGAAUGCUGACAUAAGUAACGAUAAAGCGGGUGAAAAGCCCGCUCGCCGGAAGACCAAGGGUUCCUGUCCAACGUUAAUCGGGGCAGGGUGAGUCGACCCCUAAGGCGAGGCCGAAAGGCGUAGUCGAUGGGAAACAGGUUAAUAUUCCUGUACUUGGUGUUACUGCGAAGGGGGGACGGAGAAGGCUAUGUUGGCCGGGCGACGGUUGUCCCGGUUUAAGCGUGUAGGCUGGUUUUCCAGGCAAAUCCGGAAAAUCAAGGCUGAGGCGUGAUGACGAGGCACUACGGUGCUGAAGCAACAAAUGCCCUGCUUCCAGGAAAAGCCUCUAAGCAUCAGGUAA
rnacentral:rRNA from 1 species